UACGUAGGUGGCAAGCGUUGUCCGGAAUUAUUGGGCGUAAAGCGCGCGCAGGCGGUUUUUUAAGUCGGGUGUAAAAGGCAAUGGCUCAACCAUUGUAAGCAUGCGAAACUGGAGAACUUGAGUGCAGAAGAGGAGAGUGGAAUUCCCGGUGUAGCGGUGGAAUGCGUAGAUAUCGGGAGGAACACCAGUGACGAAGGCGGCUCUCUGGACUGUAACUGACGCUGAGGCGCGAAAGCGUGGGGAGCAAACAGG
rnacentral:misc_RNA from 1 species